CUUAGCAUACACGUGUCGCUCUCUCUUCUCUUCCUGCCUGUUUCUCUUCUCUUCCUCUCUUCGUCUCUAUCUCUUCAUCAUGUGUCUGCUCUAAUCCAUUGAUCGGAUCUCCGUUUGAUGCUUGAUUGAUUUAGAAUCGAUGCUUGAUUGAUUUAGAAUCGGGUCAGAUGAGGGAAUGGUGAUCCGGGAGCACUCGGGGCUUACUUUAGAGGAGGUCAGAGACGAAGUUCUUCUUCUCCGAGGAUCCAAGAGUGUUGGAGGCGGCGUGUGCGUUGUCUGGGUUUGGGUUUCCUUGGAAUAAGCUUGGGAGGUUGUAUAAAGAGGAAAGAAUAUAGCUGCUGGCAAAUAGGAAGAAGGUACGCUCUGCUUCUCAUCACUAAGCAAACUCGCAUACUCGAAGGUAGAACUAGAAGAUGAUGGUUCAGUUUCUGAAGUGGACAAGGACAUCAGUCUAUUGAAGCACGAUCGACGUACCUCUUCUCUGAUCGACGCACCUUUUAACAGUGACCUCUUUUGAUAAUGAAACAACACACCCUUUAAACUGAUUAAUAGAUUGAAGAACUGGUUUGAGCCGUUGUUUUUUCUAAGAACGCUUCUCAAUCCAAGUCCCAAGGAAAAGUUUUGGUUCAUCAUCAUGAUCUGCUCUAGCCUGCCAAUUCAACGGCUACAAUUGAUUUCUAAUAGAUCUCGCCGCGAAUCUAAACCACCACCGCCGUCUCCGUUGAUGACGAGAAACCGACGUUAUAAAGUUGAUCAGAGAGAAGAGUAAAAAGUAGAAGAAGAAAGUUGUGGCGGUGACAACGCUGCCAUGGACGGAAUUGAAAAGCUAAAAGUUCAGAAAAUAAGAUACAGAGGAUAGAUCAUGUCAUCUGAUGUUGAGGCUCAACUACGACGCCAAUUCGGAAGUUUCGCCUGUUAAAGCUUCGCUUGGGUCGGAAGCUACCGUAGCAGAUGUCAGUGUAUGUCUUUCUCUAAUCAUAUUCCUCUCUCGCCGUUGAAAAUCUGUUUGCUUUUCUAAAUUAGUUUUAUAUUAAUUUCCCAUACUAGGUGUAGAGAUAUGUUUGAUUUAACAAAAGUUUCCGAACGUAGAGAUGUGAUGUUUUUAGAUGUCAGUGAAUAGAUUGCAUAGAUGGUAGAUGUAUGCACAGGAUAAGACGGUUAACUGGUUCAAACUAAUUAUCCAUUCCUUGUUUCACAUAUAUGUUCUUUUUAAUCUCUUGCAUUUCUCAACUUCGGUUAUUUGUCUGAUUAGGCUGGUUCCAUAUCAAUGGCAAGAGAAUCUAGAUAUCUAUUGAAUAUUUAUACGCUGUAGUCCGAGUAGGCUUUUUCUUGUGAAUGUGAUUGUAUUACAGAUCCAGCAUGACCCCUGGGACAGUACCGAUCAUCCUUGCUGGUAGGUUCAAGGGAAAGAGAGUUAUUUUUUUUUGAACCAACUACCCUCUGUUUUUCUUUUUUUUUGUGCCCGGUGAGUUUUUCUAAUUCUGCCGCGUUCUAUUAUCCAUCUUAGGCAUCCACUACUUUUGUCACCUGAUAUGUUCCUAUUUUUGUAAUUGGCCCUUCAAGAUCAAUGAUUGCCACAAACUGAAAGUCUCUGAUGUUAGCCUCGAUAAAUUUGAUGAUCAGUAUUUUGGAAAGGUAGCCGAGAAGUAGACCAAGAAGGGAGAAGGAGAGUCCGAUGUAGCCGUGGAUGUAUAUCUUUUAAUCAUACUUUCCUUUUAUUAUUCUCAGAUUGUAAACAGUACAAACCUGAGCACAAAUCCUAAGCAAAUUGCUUAAAGAUCCAAACCGACAGCAUAAAAACCCAGAGGCAAAAGACAAAUAAGUCUACGAUUUAUACUACUCAAGUUUAUUGUUUUCUGCUCCACUUCAAUCUCAAGCUCUCCCUUGUACUUCUUCACUUGUUUCCUCUUCCUCUACUGUGCUGCCUUCCUCUCGUGUCCGUACGUAUACACUCCAAGGUCUAUCAGAGUUUUCGAGGCAGAGAGAAAGGCAAUAAUCUUCUUUGGUAAAUAUGUCAACUGUUUGACCAAAGACAUAAUACAACUCCUCUCUUAAUUCUCAGAAAGUGCCUACACAAGGGAAAAAACGACCAGAAGGCUGUGGAUGGAGCUUUGAUCAAAGCCAUUGAGGUAGUUUCAGAGUUGAAUAUUUGCCUUGGCACAAGGUUUUCAUUGCACAAGGAAUGGAGCCGCAUAAGCUUGUUUUCUAGAUUCUAAAAACCUUUUAUGAGCAUUUAGAGUAUCUGUGCCCUCAUGUGUUACUAUUUUUUUGUUCUUGUCCACCUGCCAAAGAUAUUUUGACUUGUACAUUCUAUAUAUCACAUUUGGUAUAAACAAUCUAUCUUAUUUAAUUUGAACUUUGAA